rnacentral:lncRNA from 15 species
GUGGACUCCUAUCUUUCUCCGCACCCCCCCUCCUCCUCCUCUUCCUCCACCUCCUCCUCUUCUUUUACUCUCCGGGUUGGUUCUAACUCUUGUGUUUUGUGGCUGUUAAUUACAUGAAGUGGAAUUUGGUGCUUGCUACGAAGUGAAGACGGGACUAAACGUAGUGGGUUCAGAGAAGGAGAGAAAUGCCAACGGCGGUGACAAAGAGGAGAUUCAGUGCACUUCAAAAAUGUUUCUCAUUGGUCGAGGUUCAAAAAGGUAAGCCCUGCAG